rnacentral:lncRNA from 1 species
AUUAUACCUAGAUGGUCUCCUGAUUCAGUCCCUUACAAGAUGUCUGAUUUUAGGUAUUACUUCAAAAAAGCCAAUGCUUAUGUUACUAAUCAGGAAGAAAUGGAGAAGGAACUUGAGUACAUUUACAACGUAAGCUGAUUGUAUGGUUAUAGUAAGCAUUUCUUAAAAGCAAUUUAUUAUAAAGUAUGGCAUCCUCCACAAGUGAAAACACCACUGAUGAAGCUAAAGAAGUAGAAUAUGAGCCUAUCCCAUAUGCGAUGAAAGAUUAUAAAGUUUCCAAGAAGCUGGCUAGAAAGACCAAGAAGAAGUUGGCUUAUAAGAGAUACCUGAUGCUAUGCAACCAACUCAGAAACGAGAAAGACAAAAUUGAAAGUAAACAAUAUGGGGUAUAUAAAAUACCAGUGAGGAACAAUGGGACAUGCAGAAAGGAAGCAUACAUAGGAGUAAUGACUAGGACACUUGACCAAAGAUUG